CCUACGGGGGGCUGCAGUAAGGAAUAUUGGACAAUGGGCGGAAGCCUGAUCCAGCCAUGCCGCGUGAAGGAUGAAGGCGCUCAGCGUUGUAAACUUCUUUUGGAUGGGGACAAACCACUUCAUUUAUGGGGUGCUGAGGGUACCAUCAGAAUAAGCACCGGCUAACUCCGUGCCAGCAGCCGCGGUAAUACGGAGGGUGCGAGCGUUAUCCGGAAUCACUGGGUUUAAAGGGUGCGUAGGCGGUCUGAUAAGUCAGUUGUGAAAUUCCUCGGCUUAACCGAGUGGACUGCGAUUGAUACUGUGAGACUUGAAUCAGGUUGAGGUAGGCGGAAUGUGACAUGUAGCGGUGAAAUGCUUAGAUAUGUCAUAGAACACCGAUUGCGAAGGCAGCUUGCUAGACCUAGAUUGACGCUGAGGCACGAAAGCGUGGGGAGCAAACAGGAUUAGAUACCCUAGUAGUC
rnacentral:rRNA from 1 species